UUAAGUUAAUAAGGGCGCACGGUGGAUGCCUUGGCACUAGAAGCCGAUGAAGGACGUGACUAACGACGAAAUGCUUUGGGGAGUUGUAAGUAAACAUUGAUCCAGAGAUGUCCGAAUGGGGGAACCCGGCAUGUAAUGCAUGUCACUCAUUACUGUUAAGGUAAUGUAGAGGAAGACGCAGUGAACUGAAACAUCUAAGUAGCUGCAGGAAGAGAAAGCAAACGCGAUUACCUUAGUAGCGGCGAGCGAAAAGGUAAGAGGGCAAACCGAUGUGUUUACACAUCGGGGUUGUAGGACUGCGUUGUGGGACGACAAGAUUAUAGAAGAAUUACCUGGGAAGGUAAGCCAAAGAGAGUAACAGCCUCGUAUUCGAAAUAGUCUUUAACCCUAGCAGUAUCCUGAGUACGGCGAGACACGAGAAAUCUCGUCGGAAUCUGGGAGGACCAUCUCCUAACCCUAAAUACUCUCUAGUGACCGAUAGUGAACCAGUACCGUGAGGGAAAGGUGAAAAGCACCCCGGGAGGGGAGUGAAAUAGAACCUGAAACCGUGUGCCUACAACAAGUUCGAGCCCGUUAAUGGGUGAGAGCGUGCCUUUUGUAGAAUGAACCGGCGAGUUACGAUAUGAUGCGAGGUUAAGUUGAAGAGACGGAGCCGUAGGGAAACCGAGUCUUAAUAGGGCGACUUAGUAUCAUGUCGUAGACCCGAAACCAUGUGACCUACCCAUGAGCAGGGUGAAGGUGAGGUAAAACUCACUGGAGGCCCGAACCAGGGCACGUUGAAAAGUGCUUGGAUGACUUGUGGGUAGCGGAGAAAUUCCAAACGAACUUGGAGAUAGCUGGUUCUCUCCGAAAUAGCUUUAGGGCUAGCGUCGAUGUUAAGUCUCUUGGAGGUAGAGCACUGUUUGAUUGAGGGGUCCAUCCCGGAUUACCAAUAUCAGAUAAACUCCGAAUGCCAACGAGAUAUAAUCGGCAGUCAGACUGCGAGUGCUAAGAUCCGUAGUCGAAAGGGAAACAGCCCAGACCACCAGCUAAGGUCCCAAAAUAUAUGUUAAGUGGAAAAGGAUGUGGGGUUGCACAGACAACUAGGAUGUUAGCUUAGAAGCAGCUAUUCAUUCCAAAGAGUGCGUAAUAGCUCACUAGUCGAGUGACCCUGCGCCGAAAAUGUACCGGGGCUAAAACAUAUUACCGAAGCUGUGGAUACCUUUUAGGUAUGGUAGGAGAGCGUUCUAUGUGUGAUGAAGGUGUACCGUGAGGAGCGCUGGAACGCAUAGAAGUGAGAAUGCCGGUAUGAGUAGCGAAAGACAGGUGAGAAUCCUGUCCACCGUAUGACUAAGGUUUCCAGGGGAAGGCUCGUCCUCCCUGGGUUAGUCGGGACCUAAGGAGAGACCGAAAGGUGUAUCCGAUGGACAACAGGUUGAUAUUCCUGUACUAGAGUAUAUAGUGAUGGAGGGACGCAGUAGGCUAACUAAAGCGUGCGAUUGGAAGUGCACGUCUAAGCAGUGAGGUGUGAUAUGAGUCAAAUGCUUAUAUCUAUAACAUUGAGCUGUGAUGGGGAGCGAAGUUAAGUAGCGAAGUUAGUGAUGUCACACUGCCAAGAAAAGCUUCUAGCGUUAAUUAUACUCUACCCGUACCGCAAACCGACACAGGUAGUCGAGGCGAGUAGCCUCAGGUGAGCGAGAGAACUCUCGUUAAGGAACUCGGCAAAAUGGCCCCGUAACUUCGGGAGAAGGGGCGCUGGCUUUAAGUCAGCCGCAGUGAAUAGGCCCAAGCAACUGUUUAUCAAAAACACAGCUCUCUGCUAAAUCGUAAGAUGAUGUAUAGGGGGUGACGCCUGCCCGGUGCUGGAAGGUUAAGAGGAGCGCUUAGCAUUAGCGAAGGUGUGAAUUGAAGCCCCAGUAAACGGCGGCCGUAACUAUAACGGUCCUAAGGUAGCGAAAUUCCUUGUCGGGUAAGUUCCGACCCGCACGAAAGGCGUAAUGAUUUGGGCACUGUCUCAACGAGAGACUCGGUGAAAUUUUAGUACCUGUGAAGAUGCAGGUUACCCGCGACAGGACGGAAAGACCCCAUGGAGCUUUACUGCAGUUUGAUAUUGAGUAUCUGUACCACAUGUACAGGAUAGGUAGGAGCCUAUGAAAUCGGGACGCUAGUUUCGGUGGAGGCGUUGUUGGGAUACUACCCUUGUGUUAUGGCUACUCUAACCCAGAUAGGUUAUCCCUAUCGGAGACAGUGUCUGACGGGCAGUUUGACUGGGGCGGUCGCCUCCUAAAAGGUAACGGAGGCGCCCAAAGGUUCCCUCAGAAUGGUUGGAAAUCAUUCGCAGAGUGUAAAGGU
rnacentral:rRNA from 1 species